rnacentral:rRNA from 1 species
AACGAACGCUGGCGGCAUGCCUAACACAUGCAAGUCGAACGAGACCUUCGGGUCUAGUGGCGCACGGGUGCGUAACGCGUGGGAAUCUGCCCUUGGGUUCGGGAUAACAGUUGGAAACGACUGCUAAUACCGGAUGAUGACUUCGGUCCAAAGAUUUAUCGCCCAGGGAUGAGCCCGCGUCGGAUUAGCUAGUUGGUGGGGUAAAGGCCUACCAAGGCGACGAUCCGUAGCUGGUCUGAGAGGAUGAUCAGCCACACUGGGACUGAGACACGGCCCAGACUCCUACGGGAGGCAGCAGUGGGGAAUAUUGGACAAUGGGCGAAAGCCUGAUCCAGCAAUGCCGCGUGAGUGAUGAAGGCCUUAGGGUUGUAAAGCUCUUUUACCCGGGAUGAUAAUGACAGUACCGGGAGAAUAAGCCCCGGCUAACUCCGUGCCAGCAGCCGCAGUAACAC